GACCCCAGCAGUGAGCCAGCUGCUACAGAGUUUGUCAGAGUCAGCCAGAGGUGAGUGGAACUAAACUUAAUCUUUUAAAUUAAGAAAUUAAAUGUUUUUAUCAUGCUUCAUGCAUCAUGAUUAUACUAUAGGAUGUUUACAUUAGAAUUCACGAAUAUGCCGCAUUGCUUUGUUGUGAUAGAUGAUAGUGGAUGGACAUUAGGAUGAUUCAUUAGCCUCUGAAUACGAAGUCCUGUGGUGCCCAUAAUAGGGCCGGGCAAUAGCUCCGAGUUACAAAGUCCUGUGGUGCCCAUAAUAGGGUCGGGCAAUACGAAGUCCUGUGGUGCCCAUAAUAGGGCCGGGCAUGGAGCUGAGGGAUUUUUGAAUCAGUCCAUCCGUGGUGUGAUUUGUUUGUGCAGUGACGCAUUUCAUGACAGUAUGUUUUAAAUAUUCUUUUUAUAGUUCUACUCACUGGGCAUCUAGCUCACCCCUCUCCCCUAACCCCCAGGCUUGCAGGUACGGGAUAGAUAGAGAAGACAAGAAGAGAAAAAGUCAUAUGUAUGUAAUAGUUAGAUUGUGGACAUGACAAUUGUAUUAUGAUGAAAUGUAAAAAUAUUCAGUAUGUUAUGUAAUGAGGUUAUUGAGGAUAGAGUUGUGCUUGACCAUAGUAUAUUGUUAAUCCCUUUUGUAUGUACAUGAUCUUAUGUUAUGAUGUUUAUGUAAA
rnacentral:lncRNA from 1 species